GGAACCAUGGCUCAGUGUUAGAGCAACUUCUUUGCAUGCGGAGGGACCCAGGUUCGAUUUCUGGCAUCUCCA
rnacentral:tRNA from 1 species